AGUGAACGCUGGCGGUAGGCCUAACAUAUGCAAGUCGAACGGCAGCACAGUAAGAGCUUGCUCUUACGGGUGGCGAGUGGCGGACGGGUGAGGAAUACAUCGGAAUCUACUUUUUCGUGGGGGAUAACGUAGGGAAACUUACGCUAAUACCGCAUACGACCUACGGGUGAAAGCAGGGGAUCUUCGGACCUUGCGCGAUUGAAUGAGCCGAUGUCGGAUUAGCUAGUUGGCGGGGUAAAGGCCCACCAAGGCGACGAUCCGUAGCUGGUCUGAGAGGAUGAUCAGCCACACUGGGACUGAGACACGGUCCAGACUCCUACGGGAGGCAGCAGUGGGGAAUAUUGGACAAUGGGCGCAAGCCUGAUCCAGCCAUACCGCGUGGGUGAAGAAGGCCUGCGGGUUGUAAAGCCCUUUUGUUGGGAAAGAAAAGCAGCAGGUUAAUACCCCGCUGUUCUGACGGUACCCAAAGAAUAAGCACCGGCGAACUUCGU
rnacentral:rRNA from 1 species